rnacentral:sRNA from 1 species
GCUGGGUGUGGUGGUGCACACCUGUAAUCCCAGCCACUCAGGAGGCUGAGAUAGGAGGAUGGUGAAUCCAAAGACAGACUCAGCAAAAGCAAGGUGGUAAGCAGCUCAGUGAGACCCUGUCUUUA